GGUGCCAUCAUACAUGCCAACCCUCCCGAUUUUUCCGAGAGAAUCCCGAAUUUCGGUGCCCUUCCUGAAAGCCACCAUUCUCCAGAAUUUCUCCUAAUUUCACCCGGACAACAAAAGUGCUAAACCAUCCUUAACUGAGCUUCCGUUGGCGGGCGGACAAUAAUAACGGUGACACCUCGAAGUCAAGCGCGGGAAUCAGAACAAAGGAAGACGAAGCAGAAGAGAAAUGGCAACGACCAGCAAGAGAAGGAAAUAUGCGUGCAGCACGGAUCACGACCCAGUAUUUUGGGGCAUGUUGCUGAAGGUAGACCCAAGGAUGGUGUUUAUGCCGAGACAAAGAUGGCUAUGCUGUUAGCUACAAGCUACAAGCUACAUGUCCCUGAAGGAUAUGUUCCCGGAUUGGGAGAUCGCUCGCCAGUAGGCAAAUGGCAGAACAAAGGCUCAAAUAGUGAAAGGUGCCAUUGCCCAGAAUUGGACUGUGCCUAAACCAACCCUUUGGUCUGAUGUGUGAUGAAAGCACAAACAGAAACUCAGAUAAAGAGUUUGUGAUAUUGGCCAGGGUUUUCUCUCCGAAAACUCAGAAGGGG